rnacentral:rRNA from 1 species
AUGUGCAUUGGUUGCACUGACGACUGGAUCGCCGUCUGUUGUGUCUUCGGCGACAAUGCGCACAAAACGCAUAGCUACCUCUUGCACAAUCCUUUCUCUGAGACAACCAUGCCAAUCCCUGAGCUAGACGCUCUUAUUGGUAAUAAUGUCUCUGUGCUUUUCGAGAUCCGCAAGGUGCUCAUGCGAUCAACCCCUCACGACGUGGUCGCUAUUAUGACCAACAACUACAAUUACCCGAUCAUCCUGGUCCGGCCAGGGAAGGGCAUGUGGCUGCCGAGGCCACGAGCGGCGCCCUUCAUUUACAUCAUUGACAUUGCUUUCAUUGGAGAUACGCUCUAUGGAAUCACCAAUGGGGAGGACCUCUUAUGCCUCGAUAUUGGUUUGAUGACGUCGGCACGCCCACCAUUACUAGAGCCAAGCGUGUCAUAA